GGUUGACCUCGGAUCAGGUAGGAUACCAA
rnacentral:rRNA from 1 species